ensembl:lncRNA
CCCUGUGAUUCUGUGGUGGUGGCACCACUCAGCCUCAGUAGAUGUGGAGAUAUGGCACUGAGAGGGACACAGCGAGGAUGGGUUGAUGGUUGGACUAGGUGAUCUUAGAUGUCUUUUCCAACCUUAAUGAUUCUGUGCAACUGCAGCCAUAUCCCCGUGUGGUUUCUGUUCUCCCCCGUGUUCUCCCUGCCAUUCCUGCUUGAAUCUAAUGAAUUAGAUUCUUUUCUUAUUCUGUCUUCUGCUCCUCCGCCGUCAUUAUUUGGCAGAGCUGUAGGCACAGACGUGUUGUAAUGCGGCAGCGAAGCCAGCUCGGGCUCCUUUUGAGCAGAACGAGCACUGCUUGCCAGCCGGCCUGCCGCUCCGCAGAGUGCUGGAGCUCCGUGCUCUGCCCGCUCCCAGCUCCGGCACCGUAACCGGCACUGCCGUGGCCCUCCACCCCAGCCUCAAACGCGACGCUCUCGAACGCGGCUCGACAGGGCGGGGGGCAGCCCGACAGGGCCGCUCUGCCCGCACCCACACGCCGCCUCUCCGAGCCCGGGGUGGGAGCGGCGGUGCGGGGCUGCGGCUCGGCUCCUCUGCGCGGUGCCGCCCCGGGGCAGGGAGGCAGGGCAGGCUGCGGGGGCCGGGCUGCCGGGGCCGGGCUGCCCCACCGCGUCCUGCGGCACUCGGCACCGCCGCCUGCAGCCGGGGAGCCUUUCUCAGAGGCGCUGCUGCCGAGAAACACGAGCGCGUAAGUAACUGAACGGGACAUGAAGAAUUGACAUUUAAAUGGCCAGCAUGUUGCAAAAGUUGGUGAGUGGCAGGGAGCAGGAGCCAUAAGUUGACUUCUGGGUUUGGAAAUGAAAAUUUCCAGGACUUCAGGCGGUACGCUGAAGCUGUGAACCAUAGGAAUCUGGGCUGCACAACAGCAUAAGAGAUAGGUAGGAGACAGGCAAGUUUUGCCCUUGUUUGACUGGAAAUGAGUAGGAAUGGAACUUCCUUGAUGGGAAAAUUCCCACCCGGCACUAUCUAUAAUUCUUUGUAUUUACAGGUAAAACACUGUAACUGUGUUUUCAUUUUCAAUCUUAACAUUUUUGCUCAGUUGGAAUAGAAAGUCCCUGUUGCUAAUUCUGCAAUAUGGACUUGGCUGAAGCAGAGGUGCUAGUGAGCAGCAUUUGAAGAGUGUCAGAUAAAGCUGAAACAAAAGACUGAUGUUUUCCACAGAGUUUGAUUUUUGGAAAUCUGACACUAGAAAUAGAAACUUGCUAAUGAUAUCUGCAGGACUGAGAAGGAUGGAACACAGAAUGAACUGAAUAAUGCCCAAGAGACGUUACAGAAAAUGGAUGGAAGCUACUAGUAUGAAAUAUCACAUCAGGCGGUUAUGACCUAAUAAAAUAUUUUGCAAUAAUCUUGGUUCUUAACAUUUUGGAAAUCAAAGACAACAGAGACUUUAAUGUAGCAGUUGACUACAGGAUACAGAUGAGCCAUACAUCUUGUAUAGACAGGAAGAAGCAAUUCUGUGAUGUUAUCAAGUGCAGUCUCUUGGGUAGAGAUGGUGAAUGUUAGUGCCAUUGUACAAAACACUGGUGACAUGCCAUCUAGAACAAUGUGCGAAACUUGGUAAACCAGGCUUUACAGAGUUGAUCUGCAAUUGAAACAUAGCAGAAAAGGCCACUGAGGAGACUUGGAAAAAGGAGUCUCUUUUGUAAGUUAUGAAAAUAUUGGCAUACGUAAUAAAUGGAUUUAAUUUUUCUGUGAUUAAAUUUAGGCCUGAAGUUACACUGUUUGUAACAAUUUGAGACUAAGCACCUUAAUCCAUGAGAUUACCCAAUACAGUUAAGGUUUACUUCCUUUCCCACCUUUGCUGAUGUAUUUGCUUGACAGGAGAGAUUUUUGACAGCAAGAGAUUUUUUUUCUACUUUGAGGGUCAAGGCUGCCUUUGUGGUUUUGUUUUUUUCCAAAGGAUAUUUUAUCUGGAGAUGUACUAGUAGUGUUUGAAGAACACUCUUACUGCAGCAGUGAAUUUUAUGCACAGCCACUCGCUAAUGUUCCGUUAUGCUUCUGUAUGCGGAAAGCCUGUUCAGAUGUAGUUGAACAGAAUACUUGUAUUUCUGUCCCAGAUUUUCAAAUCUGAAUCUUGGGCCCGAAAAAUUAAGUUCUAAUCAGUAUUGUUGUGUAAAGUCUCCCUCUCUUCUGCCUAUCUGCCUGCCUUCCUUCUGNAAAAUUUAUACUUCCCAUGGGAUGCCUGUCCUUUAUCAAGAAAGGUGAUCACCAAACUCAUUAAGAAUUUAGCCUAAAUGAAAAGAGUACUGAUCAAGUCUAAAGGAUCUAAGCACUGUUGUACUAUUGCAAAUUUGAAAUCCAGUCUAGGCAUUUGGGUAAAGCAACAAAUCAGGUUGAGGAAAUUUUAGACGGUUGCUAUACAGAAUUGUCUUCUUCCUCCAAACAUAAUGAAGGGAAUAGUUUAAAAAUGGGUGUCCUCACAAGCCUAAGUUGCUUAAUGGCUUUGGAAGGACUGAGAUAUAGAAUCUAGGGAAACAGAAGGAAAAUAGAGCAGCAGCAUCCAAGGGGCAGCAGUUUAAAAUUAUCUCUGUUGCAGAGAUUAGUAAAUAGUUCACUAAAACAAAAUAAGAAGAGCUGUUGAGCACAGGUCUUCUUUCUACUUAUGACAAAUCAGUGCUUUCAGUGUAUAAGGAGAAAACAGAAGGAAAGAGUUGCUCUGUGGUCAGAAUAGGCAGUGUGGUAAAAUUCCAUGUGAAAAGGUGCAGCUCCAAGGGAACCCAGUGUUAGCUUGCCUUUCCAAAAGGUAGUCAGGAUGAGUAGAGAGCAGUCAUUAGGCAGAACUGGUGAAAGCGAGAGGUAGAAAACACUUUGGAAAAAAGCAGUGAUUUCAAAGGCUGAUAUCUUGUGGAAUACUCAUAUCUGAGUAUGAAGGAUUUAUAAUUUUGGACACAAAAGGUAAGCAGUAUUGUACGAUGGUCUAAAUUGAAGUGCAGAGAAGGAUGUUCAGUUCUUAUACGAUUUCAUAUGCUUCUGCCCAUGCAACUGUUCUGCUUUUUUCCUGCUCUUGGAGGUUUGUGUGAUUUUCUGUAGCUGUCAUGUUCAGCACCACUGAACAUGGAGUCUUUGGAGCCCUCAUUCUUGAAGGGGCAAAAACAACCUGUCAGGAAGUGCAGCAGAGAUUGCAAGAACAUGGACUCUUGUAAGCUGCUCGUUGCUGAAUUCUGCAUCUGACCCCUUUCUGCAGCUUACAGCAUGUAAAAUGCACUGCGUUCCCACCCCCUGGUGAGGGGAAGGAAAUAGGGCUGUGCUAUUUUUUUCCUCAAAAAUUAGCUUUUGGCAAGAUAAAACAACUCAAGUAGGUUACUGCAGAAACACUGCCAGUUAAAGCUAGAAGAUAAUUCUCAGUAGCAAAUCACCGUGUUGAUUCUGAGCAGUAAAUAUUUUAGCAAAAUGUUUAUGGAAGAUGAAAUAAUUUUUGUUCUAGAAAUGACAAUUAGCCCUUAAAAGAGGCUGUUCUCCUGUGACUGGGUAUGCACAAUGUGUAACUGUAGCGCAUCAAACUCACUGUGAAUUAGCAUUCUGGCAGACAAUCUAACUUGCAAAUGAAAUUAAUGAAAUUAAUUCGUUGUGAUGAGCUGCCAUUCGCACAAGUUUUAUUGAACUUGGUCGGACCUGAAGAUGCCCAGUUUUGGUUAGGGCAGCUCACGUGAGCGCCAGCUGAGAGGAGACCUGCCAGGACAGGGCAGAGGCAUGUGGGGAGGGCUCAUAGUUUGCUGUUUGUUUGGUUUUAUUCCUUAGCAUGAACAUUGGCAAAGCAUCAAAUGAGCAGCUCUCUUGCCCACGCUGUGCUGUUGCGUCUUUCAGUCCCGCUCCCACAGAUCUACUGCAGCUGUUUCUCUCCUACAGCCCUUGAGCUGCUUCAUGGGAAAUGCUGGAUCAGCUGUCCGUGGCCCGAGGGCUGAGGCGCUGUAGCUUUUAGACAGGUAACUCUUUGCUGCGAAUUUGUAUGAAUGCAAAUGGCAUCAGCUACAUGGCUUAGUAAGUCGCUGGGUAUUUCAGUAACUUGAACAGAAUUCUGCAUCAGGUUGGCAAGACACAACUAAUUUUGUAUAAUUUGACUCAAUAAUUAUUUAAAUCCUUUUUUUUUUUUUUUUUUUUUUUUUUUUNNNNNAAAAAAAAAAAAAAAAAAAAAAAAGCAACCAAAAAAACCCCAGAAAACCUCCACUGGGGUUGACAAAUUAUUGAUGUUGAGUGCUUGCUCUAAGGAAACUUUUUUUCUUUCUGGUUUCUCCUGAUUCUUGAAGUUAAAAGCCAGUAAUGGAGAAGUAGCUAAGACAUAUAUAUGUGGGAGUUCCUGGCAAAUCACCCUAUUGAUUCAGGUUUUCUGCAGUACAAUUAAUGGGGCAAAUGUGAUCCAAUCCUUUCUCCACCAAGGAUGCAAUCUCAGAGCUAUUGUUUUAGCCCAGGAGAAACCUCUGUUAUAGGACUCUGUGUUCAUUCAGAAGCUGUUACAAUCAGGAAGAUCAGCGCGGUGGAAAGGUGAUACGAGAGUGGAACAGGAAACGGACUAGUGCGGAUGGAACGGGGUUACAAAGGAAAAUGAAAGGUACUCAGUAGUCUUUGAAGAUCUGGGCUUGCAGGAAAGACUCCACAAGGGAGAGAUUUCCAACCAGAGAUCCUUCCCUAGUGGCAGUGAGCCCUUAAAUGAGGUCUAAGAGAGGUGCAUCCAGGCUCCACCCCUUCUGGUCACACAGAUGAAUUGCCUUCUCCUGUGCUCCCAGGGCUGACUGAAUCCUUUCCCCAGGUGAUCAAUCAGUGGUUCAGGCCAUGACUCAACAGUUCCCAUACAGAAGCAAAGCCCCUUGGCAGGCUGUUGGAGGCUCUCAAAUCUUCGAGUCCCCAGGAAGUGCAACUGCUCCAUCUCUGGGGAAUUUAUUAGUUAGAUCCUAUUUGUUCUAUGUGCUCUCUCCAAAAAUGAAGUUUGAGCACUAGUUCCUGGAACAAAUUCUUUAAAAACUAGCAAGUUUGUUUUGUGUUGUACACUAUUUCUGAGCAGGUUAAUCCACUUAGGAAGCACAUUUAUUUUUUCUGUUCUUUAUGUAACUGGUCUUUG